rnacentral:pre_miRNA from 1 species
GAUUUCAACUGAAAAAGUCAUCAACAAUAAAGUUGUAUAACUCAUCAAGAUCUAUAACUUAUAUUUUGGUCAGUUCUUUAUCUGACAAUGUGAUAGUAACAUUUUCAUAAAAUUUACAUAUAUCUCUUAUAGUUUAUAGAACUAUAUAAGAGAUAUGUACAUUUUAUGAACAAUGUUACAAAUCACUUUGUUAGAUGAAGAAGUGACCAAAAUAAAAGUUAUAGAUUUUGAUGAGUUAUACCACUUUGUUAUUGAUGACUUUUUCAGUUGAAAUC